rnacentral:rRNA from 1 species
UACGAAGGGGGCUAGCGUUGCUCGGAAUCACUGGGCGUAAAGGGUGCGUAGGCGGGUCUUUAAGUCAGGGGUGAAAUCCUGGAGCUCAACUCCAGAACUGCCUUUGAUACUGAAGAUCUUGAGUUCGGGAGAGGUGAGUGGAACUGCGAGUGUAGAGGUGAAAUUCGUAGAUAUUCGCAAGAACACCAGUGGCGAAGGCGGCUCACUGGCCCGAUACUGACGCUGAGGCACGAAAGCGUGGGGAGCGAACAGGG